rnacentral:sRNA from 1 species
CUCUUUUCAGCCUGAGUCCUAAACCUGAAGAAGCUACAGCCUGGAGCUCUAAACUACAUGAGUCUUUCCAAACGACAAGCCAAGAAGAUCUGUUGAAAGUUUCCUCUUAAGUUUCGUGGAGAGAGACUCAGGUAUAGAAAUAUCCUUACUGCCACCUGACCUGAAGCAGAAGAAAUCACUGACAGCUUCCAGACCAGGAAGUUCAUGUUUGGAGAGGUGGAGUAACCUGCCACAGGUCACAAAACUAGUCAUUGGCAUGGCCACAAUCUGAAUUUGGGACCGUUAGACUGAGAAGCCCAAGCUAAUUCUUGAUACACUCACUGCCUGGGACAUUUCACACGGUAGAUCUGAGCUUUCUCGCAUCUGAGACUAAAAGGAAAAUGUAGUCCUUAACAGACAGCAGAAGGAAACAGAUUAUUAGCAAAAAGAACUGCUUUCCUAGCAGGAAACCAGAGAAGGAGUUAUUUCAUGUAAGCUUAAGCAAAGGAAAUUGAACAAAAUCAGUUCUUUAUCUAUCCUGUUAUUCGUAUGGAAAUAAAGACGAAAUGCUUGCAUCCUG